rnacentral:rRNA from 1 species
UAAGCCGAGGCCGAAAGGCGUAGGUGAUGGACAACCGGUCAACAUUCCGGUACUACCAGAUUAUCGCUUUAAGUGAUGGGGGGACGCAGGAAGGUAGGUCAGCACGAUAAAAGUUACGUGUCCAAGCCUGAUAUGGGAGAAGAUAGGAAAAUCCGUCUUCUAUUAAAACCCUAAGAGGUGAUAGGGAGCUGCUAUGGCAGCGAACUGAUCGAUCCUACACUGCCAAGAAAAGCCUCUAAACAAGAUAACCUGGUAUCCGUACUAAAACCGACACAGGUAGGUAGGUAGAGAAUACCAAGGCGCUCGAGAUAACCCUCGUUAAGGAACUCGGCAAAAUGACUCCGUAACUUCGGGAGAAGGAGUGCCCCGGUAGGGUGAGUUGAUUUACUCAUACAAGCCCGAAGGGGUUGCAAAGAAACGGCCCAAGCGACUGUUUACUAAAAACACAGGUCUCUGCUAAAUCGAAAGAUGAUGUAUAGGGACUGACGCCUGCCCGGUGCUGGAAGGUUAAGGAAGGAGGUUACCCCUCGUAAGAGGGGGAAGCUUCUGACCGAAGCCCCAGUAAACGGCGGCCGUAACUAUAACGGUCCUAAGGUAGCGAAAUUCCUUGUCGGGUAAGUUCCGACCUGCACGAAUGGCGUAACGAUUUGGGCACUGUCUCAACGAGGGACUCGGUGAAGUUGUAGUGUAAGUGAAGAUGCUUACUACCCGCGACAGGACGGAAAGACCCCGUGAACCUUUACUGUAGCCUGAUAUUGAAUUUUAGCAUAUCCUGUGUAGGAUAGGUGGUAGGC